rnacentral:rRNA from 1 species
GACGAACGCUGGCGGCGUGCUUAACACAUGCAAGUCGAACGGUAAGGCCCUUCGGGGUACACGAGUGGCGAACGGGUGAGUAACACGUGGGUGAUCUGCCCUGCACUUCGGGAUAAGCCUGGGAAACUGGGUCUAAUACCGGAUAGGACCCUGGGAUGCAUGUCCUGGGGUGGAAAGCUUUUGCGGUGUGGGAUGGGCCCGCGGCCUAUCAGCUUAUUGGUGGGGUCAUGGCCUACCAAGGCGACGACGGGUAGCCGGCCUGAGAGGGUGACCGGCCACACUGGGACGGAGAUACGGCCCAGACUCCUACGGGAGGCAGCAGUGGGGAAUAUUGCACAAUGGGCGCAAGCCUGAUGCAGCGACGCCGCGUGAGGGAUGACGGCCUUCGGGUUGUAAACCUCUUUCAGUAGGGACGAAGCGCAAGUGACGGUACCUACAGAAGAAGGACCGGCCAACUACGUGCCAGCCGCCGCCGUAA